UCCCUGGUGGUCCAGUGGUUAAGACUCUGCACUCCCAAUGCAGGGGGGUUGGGUGAUCCCUGGUCAGGGAA
rnacentral:tRNA from 1 species